rnacentral:ncRNA from 2 species
AUCUUUGCCCCCCGAAUCGGUUCCGGACGGACGUAUCUGCCGUUCGGAUUAAAAGGGAACCGGGUGUAAAUCCCGGACAGUCCCGCUGCUGUGAAGCUCCGUCAAACGAAGUCUUGAUAAGAACCUUUGCCACUGAUAUGCGUUUAUAUAUCGGGAAGGCAUCAAGAUAAGGAGUCAGUCAGAAGACCUGCCAUUCAUUAAAGUCUGUC